UACGGCCACAAUACGCUGAAACACCAGUUCCCGUUUGAUCACCGAAGUUAAACAACAUCGAGACUGGUCAGUACUCAGAUGGGUGACUGUUUUGGAAUAUCAAAUGCUGUCAG